rnacentral:lncRNA from 13 species
GCUGAGGGUGGACAGGGAGCAGGGGGGUCUCUUGUUGGUUUGCCUUCUUCCUCUCGCUCUCUCUCCUGAAGACGGGAAAUAUAGAACCAAUUUGUAACCUGGAAGACUGAGGACAGGAGAGCAGGAGGCAGUGGACUUCAGUCUUGUUCCAGUCCCUGGAUCAUCAGGCAAGGUCUGAAAACCUCUUUUCGAGACAGCAUACAUUCCCAGGACUGCAGACCACUGGACCAAACUCCUAGGAGGCAAGACUUGUGCACCCUGGUUACAAAAGAUCAUCACUUCUAUCCUGCUGGCCAACCCUCUCUCCAGCCUUCUCAGCUUGCAUAUUCCAUGAAACAAGCUGCCAUGCUGGCAAGGACCACAUGGCAAGGAAUUGAGAGCAUCCUCUGGCCAGCAGCAAGCUAGGAACCGAGGCCCUCAGUCCAACAACCCUCGAGGGACUGAAUUCUGCCAACAACCAUGUAAACUUGGAUGUGGAUCCUUCCCCAAGUGAGCCUUCAGAGGAGAUGCCAACCCUGGCCAAAACUUUGGUUACAGCCUGUGAGAUAUUCUAAAGCAAAGGAGCUGGCUAAGUUGUGCCCUGACUCUGGCCUACAGAAACUGAGAUAAUAAAAGAAUAUUGUUUUGACCCA